CCUACGGGUGGCAGCAGUGAGGAAUAUUGGUCAAUGGGCGUAAGUCUGAACCAGCCAAGUCGCGUGAGGGAUGAAGGUUCUAUGGAUUGUAAACCUCUUUUAUAAGGGAAUAAAGUGCGGGACGUGUCCCGCUUUGUAUGUACCUUAUGAAUAAGGAUCGGCUAACUUCGUGCCAGCAGCCGCGGUAAUACGGAGGAUCCGCGCGUUAUCCGGAUUUAUUGGGUUUAAAGGGAGCGUAGGCCGGUCUUUAAGCGUGCCGUGAAAUUUUGUGGCUCAACCAUGAGAGUGCGGCGCGAACUGGAGACCUUGAGUGCGCGGAGGGCAGGCGGAAUUCGUGGUGUAGCGGUGAAAUGCUUAGAUAUCACGAAGAACCCCGAUUGCGAAGGCAGCCUGCCGCAGCGUUACUGACGCUGAAGCUCGAAAGCGCGGGUAUCGAACAGGAUUAGAUACCCGUGUAGUC
rnacentral:rRNA from 1 species